rnacentral:rRNA from 1 species
CGUAGGACCCAAGCGUUAUCCGGAUUGACUGGGCGUAAAGAGUUGCGUAGGUGGUUUGUUAAGCGAAUAGUGAAAUCUUGUGGCUCAACCAUAAGGCUAUUAUUCGAACUGGCAAACUCGAGAAUGGGAGAGGUAUCUAGAAUUCCUCAUGUAGGGGUAAUAUCCGUAGAUAUGAGGAGGAAUACCAAUGGCGUAGGCAGGAUACUGGCCCAUUUCUGACACUAAGGCACGAAAGCGUGGGGAGCGAACCGGUUUAGAUACCCGGGUAGUCCACGCCGUAAACUAUGAAUACUAGCUGUAUGCAGUAUCGACCCUGUGUGUAGCGAAGCUAACGCGUUAAGUAUUCCGCCUGGGGAGUACGGUCGCAAGACUA